GACGAACGCUGGCGGCGUGCUUAACACAUGCAAGUCGAACGGUGACCCUCGGAGCUUGCUUCGGGGUGAGCAGUGGCGAACGGGUGAGUAACACGUGAGUAACCUGCCCCUGAAUCUGGUAUAAGCGAUGGAAACGGCGUCUAAUACCGGCUAUGACACGCCUCCGCAUGGGGAGCGUGGGUAAAGUUUUUCGGUCUGGGAUGGAAUCGCGGCCUAGCAGCUUGGUGGUGAGGUAAUGGCUCACCAAGGGGAUGACGGGUAGCCGGCCUGAGAGGGCGACCGGCCACACUGGGACUGAGACACGGCCCAGACUCCUACGGGAGGCAGCAGUGGGGAAUAUUGCACAAUGGGCGAAAGCCUGAUGCAGCGACGCCGCGUGAGGGAUGACGGCCUUCGGGUUGUAAACCUCUUUCAGCAGGGAAGAAGCGAAAGUGACGGUACCUGCAGAAGAAGCACCGGCUAACUACGUGCCAGCCGCCGCCGUAA
rnacentral:rRNA from 1 species